rnacentral:piRNA from 1 species
CUGGAAGUUGUAGCUGAACUUCAGUAAACUC